CCUUACCAGGUCUUGACAUCCCCUGACAACCCGAGAGAUCGGGCGUUCCCCUUCGGGGGACAGGGUGACAGGUGGUGCAUGGUUGUCGUCAGCUCGUGUCGUGAGAUGUUGGGUUAAGUCCCGCAACGAGCGCAACCCUCGACCUUAGUUGCCAGCAUUCAGUUGGGCACUCUAAGGUGACUGCCGGCUAAAAGUCGGAGGAAGGUGGGGAUGACGUCAAAUCAUCAUGCCCCUUAUGACCUGGGCUACACACGUGCUACAAUGGGCGGUACAAAGGGUCGCGAACCCGCGAGGGGGAGCCAAUCCCAAAAAGCCGCUCUCAGUUCGGAUUGCAGGCUGCAACCCGCCUGCAUGAAGCCGGAAUCGCUAGUAAUCGCAGGUCAGCAUACUGCGGUGAAUACGUUCCCGGGCCUU
rnacentral:rRNA from 1 species